rnacentral:rRNA from 1 species
AGUGAACGCUGGCGGUAGGCCUAACACAUGCAAGUCGAACGGCAGCACAGUAAGAGCUUGCUCUUACGGGUGGCGAGUGGCGGACGGGUGAGGAAUACAUCGGAAUCUACUUUUUCGUGGGGGAUAACGUAGGGAAACUUACGCUAAUACCGCAUACGACCUACGGGUGAAAGCAGGGGAUCUUCGGACCUUGCGCGAUUGAAUGAGCCGAUGUCGGAUUAGCUAGUUGGCGGGGUAAAGGCCCACCAAGGCGACGAUCCGUAGUUGGUCUGAGAGGAUGAUCAGCCACACUGGAACUGAGACACGGUCCAGACUCCUACGGGAGGCAGCAGUGGGGAAUAUUGGACAAUGGGCGCAAGCCUGAUCCAGCCAUACCGCGUGGGUGAAGAAGGCCUUCGGGUUGUAAAGCCCUUUUGUUGGGAAAGAAAAGCAGCAGGUUAAUACCCCGCUGUUCUGACGGUACCCAAAGAAGAAGCACCGGCUAACUUCGU